GCCCAUGGUCUCUACCCAGCGCCUCACUACAGCCUCGCGCUCGAAAUACGCAACUGGGUUUCAGGUCCUUCACAAAACAUCUCAGAGGUUUCUGCAGCAGCCUGAUGACAUGAAGACCAGUGGGGGAGUGCCUGUAGAUACCUUAACCUGAUGAAAGAGAAGGUAUCUGGAGGCGUUUGCAAGACAGUGCAACUUACAGAGCACGUGCAGCAAAGACAGAGCAGCACAGUUUUGAUAGAGAUACUUCCAUCAGCCUCCAUCUGCACGGAAAAAGAAUGAGGGUUCUCCACUGACACACAACAAUCCCAUGAGAGGAGGAGGCAAUCACCUGCCAAAAAGUCAAGCCUAAUUCUAAGCAGCGCCUCCACUGCAAUGGGCUUAUAGCACCAUUCAGAGGGUUGGGACAAGAGGAAAAUUUGAAAUAGAAUGAUGG
rnacentral:lncRNA from 12 species